AUACUUACUUGGCACUGAGGAUGCCUUGAUCAACUAGGAGGCUCCCCCGAGCAGAGACCUCUCAUUGCACUGCGAGGGGUUGACGUUCUCCACUUUCACAAAUUGUGAAUGAUUGGGUGCACAAUUUUUGGAAGUUGGGACUGCGUUAGCGCUGUCCCUAU